rnacentral:rRNA from 1 species
GACACGGUCCAAACUCCUACGGGAGGCAGCAGUGAGGAAUAUUGGUCAAUGGUCGGCAGACUGAACCAGCCAAGUCGCGUGAGGGAAGACGGCCCUACGGGUUGUAAACCUCUUUUGUCGGAGAGUAAAGUACGCUACGUGUAGCGUAUUGCAAGUAUCCGAAGAAAAAGCAUCGGCUAACUCCGUGCCAGCAGCCGCGGUAAUACGGAGGAUGCAAGCGUUAUCCGGAUUUAUUGGGUUUAAAGGGUGCGUAGGCGGCACGCCAAGUCAGCGGUGAAAUUUCCGGGCUCAACCCGGACUGUGCCGUUGAAACUGGCGAGCUAGAGUGCACAAGAGGCAGGCGGAAUGCGUGGUGUAGCGGUGAAAUGCAUAGAUAUCACGCAGAACCCCGAUUGCGAAGGCAGCCUGCUAGGGUGCGACAGACGCUGAGGCACGAAAGCGUGGGUAUCGAACAGGAUUAGAUACCCUGGUAGUCCACGCAGUAAACGAUGAAUACUAACUGUUUGCGAUACAAUGUAAGCGGUACAGCGAAAGCGUUAAGUAUUCCACCUGGGGAGUACGCCGGCAACGGUGAAACUCAAAGGAAUUGACGGGGGCCCGCACAAGCGGAGGAACAUGUGGUUUAAUUCGAUGAUACGCGAGGAACCUUACCCGGGCUCAAACGCAGGGGGAAUGCCGGUGAAAGCCGGCAGCUAGCAAUAGUCACCUGCGAGGUGCUGCAUGGUUGUCGUCAGCUCGUGCCGUGAGGUGUCGGCUUAAGUGCCAUAACGAGCGCAACCCCUAUGGACAGUUACUAACGGGUGAAGCCGAGGACUCUGUCUAGACUGCCGGCGCAAGCCGCGAGGAAGGUGGGGAUGACGUCAAAUCAGCACGGCCCUUACGUCCGGGGCGACACACGUGUUACAAUGGCAGGUACAGAAGGCAGCCAGUCAGCAAUGACGCGCGAAUCCCGAAAACCUGUCUCAGUUCGGAUUGGAGUCUGCAACCCGACUCCAUGAAGCUGGAUUCGCUAGUAAUCGCGCAUCAGCCAUGGCGCGGUGAAUACGUUCCCGGGCCUUGUACACACCGCCCGUCAAGCCAUGGAAGCUGGGGGUGCCUGAAGUUCGUGACCGCAAGGAGCGACCUAGGGCAAAACCGGUGACUGGGGCUAAGUCGUAACAAGGUAGCCGUACCGGAAGGUGCGGCUG